UUAUGCUAAUAAGAGCGCAGGGUGGAUGCCUUGGCACUAAGAGCCGAUGAAAGACGUGAUAAGCUGCGAAAAGCUUCGGGGAGGAGCAAAUAUCCAAUGAUCCGGAGAUAUCUGAAUGGGGAAACCCACUUGAGCAAACCUCAAGUAUCCAUACGCCAAUCCAUAACGUAUGGAGGGGAACCCGGUGAACUGAAACAUCUAAGUAGCCGGAGGAAGAGAAAACAACAUGUGAUUCUGGAAGUAGCGGCGAGCGAAACCGGAAGAGCCCAAACCAGCGUGCGUGCAUGCUGGGGUUCGGACCGCAUAAUUGAUUGAUGAGUCUAGCAGAAUGGUUUUGGGAAAGCCAGCCAGAGAGGGUGAAAGCCCCGUAAGCAAAAGGCGAGUCGACAUGGCGGUAUCCAGAGUAGAUCGAGACACGAGAAACCUUGAUUGAAUGAGCGGGGACCACCCCGUAAGGCUAAAUACUCCUUAGUGACCGAUAGCGCAUAGUACUGUGAAGGAAAGGUGAAAAGGACCCCGGGAGGGGAGUGAAAGAGAACCUGAAACCCUGUGUUUACAAGCUGUGGAACAUCCAUAUGAGAUGAACCGCGUACUUUUUGUAGAACGGUCCGGCGAGUUACGCUGGCUGGCGAGGUUAAGUUCUGAAGGAACGGAGCCGAAGGGAAACCAAGUCUUAAUAGGGCGAGUAGUCAGUCGGAGUAGACCCGAAACCGGGUGAUCUAUCCAUGUCCAGGUUGAAGUUGCCGUAAAAGGCAAUGGAGGACCGAACCCACAUCCGUUGAAAAGGGUGGGGAUGAGGUGUGGAUAGGGGAGAAAUUCCAAUCGAACCCGGAGAUAGCUGGUUCUCCUCGAAAUAGCUUUAGGGCUAGCCUCAUGAGAGUCUUGCGGAGGUAGAGCACUGAAUUUCCUAGGGGGCGUCAAAGCUUACCGAAGAAUAUCAAACUCCGAAUGCCGCGUAGAUGAUUCAUGGGAGUCAGACUGCACGAGAUAAGUUGGGUAGUCAAAAGGGAAAGAGCCCAGACCUGCAGCUAAGGUCCCAAAAUGUGUGUUAAGUGGAAAAGGAUGUGGGAUUUCAAAGACAACCAGGAUGUUGGCUUAGAAGCAGCCAUACAUUAAAAGAGUGCGUAAUAGCUCACUGGUCGAGAGGUCCUGCGCCGAAAAUGUCCGGGGCUGAAACACACUACCGAAGCUCAGGAAUCAACCCAGUUGAUUGGUAGAGGAGCAUUGCAUACGGGAAGAAGCAGUACCGGAAGGAGCUGUGGACUGUAUGGAAGAGAGAAUGCCGGAAUGAGUAGCGAGAGGAAGGUGAGAAUCCUUCCGGCCGAAUAUCUAAGGUUUCCAGAGUAAAGCUGAUCUGCUCUGGGUAAGUCGGGACCUAAGGCGAGGUCGAAAGACGUAGUCGAUGGACAACAGGUUGAAAUUCCUGUACUACGGUAAUACAGAACUGUGGGGACGCAGUAAGAGAGCACAACCGGGAAUGGAGAUACCGGGGCAAGCGAGGUAGGAGUUACGUUGGCAAAUCCGCGUAACAAUCCGAAGACGUGAUGCGUACCGAACUAAGAGUAGGGAAGAGUGUGAGCUAACUGCCAAGAAAAGCCGCUAUUGUUGUUACCGUACCCGUACCGUAAACCGACACAGGUGGAUGAGGAGAGAAUCCUAAGGCCGACGGGAGAAGCAUUGUUAAGGAACUCGGCAAAAUGACUCCGUAACUUCGGGAGAAGGAGUGCCUGGGAGACCAGGCCGCAGAGAAUUGGCCCAAGCAACUGUUUAGCAAAAACACAGGUCUAUGCAAAACCGAAAGGUGAGGUAUAUGGGCUGACGCCUGCCCGGUGCUGGAAGGUUAAGGGGAGAGGUUAGCGCAAGCGAAGCUUUGAACUUAAGCCCCAGUAAACGGCGGCCGUAACUAUAACGGUCCUAAGGUAGCGAAAUUCCUUGUCGGGUAAGUUCCGACCCGCACGAAAGGCGUAAUGAUUUGGGCACUGUCUCAACAAUGCACCCGGUGAAAUUGAAAUACCAGUGAAGAUGUUGGUUACCUGCGCCAGGACGGAAAGACCCCAUGGAGCUUUACUCCAGCUUGAUACUGGGA
rnacentral:rRNA from 1 species